ensembl:snoRNA U3 Small nucleolar RNA U3
AAGACUAUACUUUCAGGAAUCAUUUCUAUAGUUUGUUACUAGAGGACAACUUUUGGGAGUCUGUUUUUUCAGAUUCUCAGUCUUGAUGGCAAUUUUUUACCAAGCUUUCUCAUUGGUCCUACAUUGAUCUUAGAGCC